rnacentral:tRNA from 5 species
UCCGUGGUAGCUCAAUGGUGGAGCAUUCGGCUGUUAACCGAAGGGUUGAAGGUUCGAAUCCUUUCCACGGAGCCA